ACGGCGUAAAACGUGUUAAAGCACCUCACAAAAUAGAGUUAAAUAUUAGUUAAACUGUAAAAAGCCAUAACUAUAACAAAAAUAAAUGACGAAAGUAACCCUACAGCAGCUGACACACUAUAGCUAAGACCCAAACUGGGAUUAGAUACCCCACUAUGCUUAGCCCUAAACACAAAUAAUUAAAUAAACAAAAUUAUUCGCCAGAGUACUACCGGCAACAGCCCAAAACUCAAAGGACUUGGCGGUGCUUCACACCCUUCUAGAGGAGCCUGUUCUAUAAUCGAUAAACCCCGAUAAACCUCACCAAUCCUUGCUAAUACAGUCUAUAUACCGCCAUCUUCAGCAAACCCUAAAAAGGAACAAAAGUAAGCUCAAUCAUAGCACAUAAAGACGUUAGGUCAAGGUGUAACCUAUGGAAUGGGAAGAAAUGGGCUACAUUUUCUAUUUCAAGAAAAUUUAACACGAAAGCUAUUAUGAAACUAAUGGCCAAAGGAGGAUUUAGCAGUAAACUGAGAAUAGAGUGCUCAGUUGAAUCAGGCCAUGAAGCACGCACACACCGCCCGUCACCCUCCUCAAGUGAAUACAGGACACUCAAAACCUAUUUAAACACACCAAUCACACAAGAGGAGACAA
rnacentral:rRNA from 1 species